rnacentral:rRNA from 1 species
ACUGACUUGAUGAAUCUCUAUGGAGUGGUUGCUGGCCUCUAGGGGCAUGUGCACGCUUCAYUASUYUUUCAACCACCUGUUGAWCUUUUGAUAGAUCUGUGAAGUCGKCUCUCAAGUCGUCAGACUUGGUUGCUGGGAUUUAAACGUCUCGGUGUGACUACGCAGUCUAUUUACUUACACACCCCAAAUGUAUGUCUACGAAUGUCAUUUAAUGGGCCUUGUGCCUUUAAACCAUAAUACAACUUUCAACAACGGAUCUCUUGGCUCUCGCAUCGAUGAAGAACGCAGCGAAAUGCGAUAAGUAAUGUGAAUUGCAGAAUUCAGUGAAUCAUCGAAUCUUUGAACGCACCUUGCGCCCCUUGGUAUUCCGAGGGGCAUGCCUGUUUGAGUGUCAUUAAAUUCUCAAACUCACUUUGGUUUCUUUYYAAUUGUGAUGUUUGGAUUGUUGGGGGCUGCUGGCCUUGACAGGUCGGCUCCUCUUAAAUGCAUUAGCAGGACUUCUCAUUGCCUCUGCGCAUGAUGUGAUAAUUAUCACUCAUCAAUAGCACGCAUGAAUAGAGUCCAGCUCUCUAAUCGUCCGCAAGGACAAUUUGACAAUUUGACCUCAAAUCAGUAGGUUACCCGGGACUAAGAG